rnacentral:rRNA from 1 species
GUUAUAAGGUCAAGUGAAUAAGCGCAUAUGGUGGAUGCCUAGGCGGCAUAAGGCGAUGAAGGACGUAGUAAUCUGCGAUAAGCUUCGGUAAGUUGAUAAACAAACUUUGACCCGGAGAUUUCCGAAUGAGUGAACUCACUCUACAUAAGUAGAGUAUCUCCAUCUGAAUAUAUAGGAUGGUAGAAGCAAACCUGGAGAACUGAAACAUCUAAGUACCCAGAGGAAAAGAAAUCAAUUGAGAUUUCCUUAGUAGCGGCGAGCGAAAAGGAAAUAGUCCAGUCAUUUUAAUCCAAACGAAUACUAAUAAAACAAUCUGGAAAGGUUGGCCAUAGAAGGUGAUAGCCCUGUAUAUGAAAGUUUAGUUUGGUGGAUGACGAUGAGUAGAGCGGGACACGAGAAAUCUUGCUUGAACGUGGGGGGACCAUCCUCCAAGACUAAAUACUCUAUGCCGACCGAUAGUGAACUAGUACCGUGAGGGAAAGGCGAAAAGAACCCCUGUUAGGGGAGUGAAAUAGAACCUGAAACCGUAUGCGUACAAGCAGUGGGAGCCCUCUUCGGGGGGUGACUGCGUACCUUUUGUAUAAUGGGUCAGCGACUUACUUUUAGUAGCAAGCUUAACCGUAAUAGGGUAGGCGAAGGGAAACCGAGUCUUAAUAGGGCGUUUAGUUGCUGGGAGUAGACCCGAAACCUGGUGAUCUAUCCAUGGCCAGAGUGAAGGUGGGGUAAUUCCUACUGGAGGCUCGAACCCACUUAUGUUGAAAAAUGAGGGGAUGAGCUGUGGAUUGGAGUGAAAGGCUAAUCAAACCAGGAGAUAGCUGGUUCUCCGCGAAAGCUAUUUAGGUAGCGCCUCGUGUAUUACUGUUGGGGGUAGAGCACUGUUAUGGCUAGGGGGACAUCCCGUCUUACCAAACCAUUGCAAACUCCGAAUACCAACAAGUAGAGCACGGGAGACAGACUGCGGGUGCUAACGUCCGUAGUCAAGAGGGAAACAACCCAGACCAACAGCUAAGGUCCCAAAAUUAUGACUAAGUGGAAAACGAAGUGGGAAGGCCCAGACAUCCAGGAGGUUGGCUUAGAAGCAGCCAUCCUUUAAAGAAAGCGUAAUAGCUCACU